rnacentral:rRNA from 1 species
GUAGUUAGCCGUGACUUAUUCCUGGGGUACCGUCCUUCCUCUUCCCCCAGAAAAGGAGUUUACGACCCAAGGGCCUUCAUCCUCCACGCGGCGUUGCUGCAUCAGGGUUGCCCCCAUUGUGCAAUAUUCCUCA